CUAAAACCGAAACUAACCAAAAUUAACUCGACGAAAUCUAAACAGUGCAUUUAGACGACGUCUGCCAGUCGGUCCUUACAUCGGCUUCUAGUCUACGGGGUCUAAAUUCCCAGAUUUACAAGACGGAAAAAAAAGAAAAAGAAUGGCUAAAAGGGCUUACAGAAGGAGACAUCAAGUAAACACAUUAAAAAAUCAGACUGGCUUAACUAUUAAAAGUAACGUCACGAAACAUUAUGGUAAAUGAGAGACAUCACGCAAGAGAAACGAGUGUCUUUUUUACCGCAUAUAUUUUCGAACGAAUAAAUAUAAAGAUAAAAAUCGGUAAUUAA